UACAGAGGUCCCAACCGUUGUUCGGAUUCAUUGGGCUUAAAGGGUGCGUAGGCGGCGGGGCAAGUCAGGUGUGAAAUCUCGGGGCUCAACCCCGAAACUGCACUUGAUACUGCCUUGCUCGAGUACUGGAGAGGAGACUGGAAUUUACGGUGUAGCAGUGAAAUGCGUAGAUAUCGUAAGGAAGACCAGUGGCGAAGGCGAGUCUCUGGACAGUUACUGACGCUGAGGCACGAAGGCCAGGGGAGCAAACGGG
rnacentral:rRNA from 1 species